rnacentral:rRNA from 1 species
GUCUUUUUGAGUAUAAUUUAAAGUCUGACCUGCCCUAUGAUUAUUUUAAAUGGCCGCAGUAUCUUGACUGUGCAAAGGUAGCAUAAUCAUUAGUUUUUUAAAUGAAAGCUGGAAUGAAUGGUUUGAUGAGAAAAUAGCUGUCUCAAUAUUAAUGAUUUAGAAUUUUAUUUUUAAGUUAAAAAGCUUAAAUAUAUUAAAAAGACGAGAAGACCCUAUAGAGUUUUAUAUAAUUUUAAUUAAAAAUUUAAUAGAUUUUUAUGAUUUUUUAUUGAUAUUAUAUUUUAUUGGGGUGAUAUAAAAAUUUAAAAAACUUUUUAUUAUAAAACCAUAAAUUUAUGAAUAUUUGAUCCUAAUUUUUAGAUUAUAAGAAAAAAUUACCUUAGGGAUAACAGCGUAAUUUUUUUUUAGAGUUCAAAUCGAAAAAAAAGAUUGCGACCUCGAUGUUGGAUUAAAAUUUAAUUUUGGUGUAGAAGCUAAAAAUAUUAGGUCUGUUCGACCUUUGAAAUUUUACAUGAUCUGAGUUUAGACCGGUGUGAGCCAGGUUGGUUUCUAUCUUUUAAAAAAGUAAUAUUUUAGUACGAAAGGACCAAAUAUUAAAAUUAAAUUUUAUAUUUUGAAUAAAAUUAUUAUUUUGGCAGAUUAGUGCUAUAGAUUUAGAAUCUUUAUAUGUAAUUUAAAUUACAAAUAAUAUUGAUUUUAAAAGAUUUAUUAUUAGUUUUUAUUUCUUUAUUAAUUAUAGUAAUUUGUGUUUUAGUAGGUGUUGCUUUUUUAACUUUACUUGAACGWAAWGUUUU